rnacentral:rRNA from 1 species
UGGGGAUAUUGCACAAUGGGCGCAAGCCUGAUGCAGCCAUGCCGCGUGUGUGAAGAAGGCCUUCGGGUUGUAAAGCACUUUCAGUCAGGAGGAAAGGUUAGUAGUUAAUACCUGCUAGCUGUGACGUUACUGACAGAAGAAGCACCGGCUAACUCCGUGCCAGCAGCCGCGGUAAUACGGAGGGUGCGAGCGUUAAUCGGAAUUACUGGGCGUAAAGCGUACGCAGGCGGUUUGUUAAGCGAGAUGUGAAAGCCCCGGGCUCAACCUGGGAACUGCAUUUCGAACUGGCAAACUAGAGUGUGAUAGAGGGUGGUAGAAUUUCAGGUGUAGCGGUGAAAUGCGUAGAGAUCUGAAGGAAUACCGAUGGCGAAGGCAGCCACCUGGGUCAACACUGACGCUCAUGUACGAAAGCGUGGGGAGCAAACGGGAUUAGAUACCCCGGUAGUCCACGCCGUAAACGAUGUCUACUAGAAGCUCGGAGCCUCGGUUCUGUUUUUCAAAGCUAACGCAUUAAGUAGACCGCCUGGGGAGUACGGCCGCAAGGUUAAAACUCAAAUGAAUUGACGGGGGCCCCGCACAAG